rnacentral:rRNA from 1 species
UCGAGCGAGUCUGCCUUGAGAUCGGAGUGCUUGCACUCUGUGAAACAAGAUACAGGCUAGCGGCGGACGGGUGAGUAACACGUGGGUAACCUGCCCAAGAGAUCGGGAUAACACCUGGAAACAGAUGCUAAUACCGGAUAACAACAGAUGAUGCCUAUCAACUGUUUAAAAGAUGGUUCUGCUAUCACUCUUGGAUGGACCUGCGGUGCAUUAGCUAGUUGGUAGGGUAACGGCCUACCAAGGCGAUGAUGCAUAGCCGAGUUGAGAGACUGAUCGGCCACAUUGGGACUGAGACACGGCCCAAACUCCUACGGGAGGCAGCAGUAGGGAAUCUUCCACAAUGGACGCAAGUCUGAUGGAGCAACGCCGCGUGAGUGAAGAAGGGCUUCGGCUCGUAAAGCUCUGUUGUUGGUGAAGAAGGACAGGGGUAGUAACUGACCUUUGUUUGACGGUAAUCAAUUAGAAAGUCACGGCUAACUACGUGCCAGCAGCCGCGGUAAUACGUAGGUGGCAAGCGUUGUCCGGAUUUAUUGGGCGUAAAGCGAGUGCAGGCGGCUCGAUAAGUCUGAUGUGAAAGCCUUCGGCUCAACCGGAGAAUUGCAUCAGAAACUGUCGAGCUUGAGUACAGAAGAGGAGAGUGGAACUCCAU